AGCAGGCAUUAAUUGGUCGCCUUCCUGGUUUCUGCUGGGAAAGGUACAGUAAUCACUGGGGCAUUUUUCACAUUGCUGGCAUAGUUUUCCAUCCCUCCUGCUGAGAAGCAGGGACCCUUGCAUACUUCAGAAGGGCUUAAAGGCUUGCCCUGUGCCACCACAGUAGCAGUGCUGGGCUCAGGCUGGGGUGUGGGGAAUUUGCGUUAGAAGGAUUAAAUACCAGGGCUAUUGUGGAAUUUUAAACUGUGGUUUCUUCAGCUGACCACAGGCCCAGAACUCGUGUGUGGCAUCACUGAACCUCCAAAAAUCUUGCAGGCAUCUGAUCUUUUCUUUCGUAAGAAAGAACUGAGAACUGAGGAGAGAGUCCUUCUGAAGCCACAAUCCUGACAAAUUCCAUCUUGCUCUGGCCCACAAGGGAGUUCUCUGAACUCAGUCCUUCCUUACAUGGUCCUUGUCUCCAAUGAGGCUCAGUGCUGGAGAGCACACUGAAAGGUAACACCAGGAGUCAGCUGAAUGCUUUUCAUCAUCUCAUUUCCAUGGUAUUGGUUUUUUAACCUUUAAGGCAAGCUACAUCCCCAUAGAUGGCAGCUCACUGGGCAUUGCACACUGAACAAUUAAGGUAUACGUUUGUGAACAUGCAG
rnacentral:lncRNA from 1 species